AGAAGCCCUCCCACAACCUCACAGCAGGGUGGUCCAGGAUGUGGCCACCAAAAGCACAGCAGUGCAGCUGAGACUGCCUCCCUGCAUAAAAAACUUCUCUGAAACAAAACAAAACAAAAACCUCUCAGCUGGCACCAUCUCACAUGGGAGGAGGCAGAUACCAGCUGAGAGGCAAAUCCAGAGCCUGCUACCCUCCUCCAGGACAUGUGCCUGCCUGCUUCCCAAUUUGGAAACAACAAUGUGUUCAGGCCACGGUAGAAGAAAGGAGCAAGAGCACUACAGUUUCCCCUCUGGCUGCCAGCAAACCACCUUAGGAUUCAUUCUGAAUGUUUCAGGUGAGAUUUGUAUCUAUCUGGACAGCUGUAAGAGUUAUU
rnacentral:lncRNA from 1 species